AUUUGUGGUGUAACGGUAACACACUCGACGAGUAUUCGAGGGGUACAGGUUCGAAUCCCGUCGAGGAUA
rnacentral:tRNA from 1 species